UACGUAGGGGGCAAGCGUUGUCCGGAUUUAUUGGGCGUAAAGAGCGUGUAGGCGGCCAGAUAGGUCAGCUGUGAAAACUCGAGGCUCAACCUCGAGACGUCGGUUGAAACCAUCUGGCUAGAGUCCGGAAGAGGAGAGUGGAAUUCCCGGUGUAGCGGUGGAAUGCGUAGAGAUCCGGGAAGAACGACCGGUGGCGAAGGCGGUCUGCUGGGGUGAGGCUGACGCUGAUGCGCGACAGCGUGGGGAGCAAACAGG
rnacentral:rRNA from 1 species